rnacentral:lncRNA from 1 species
AAUGGCCACAUUUACCCUGUGAAGAAUCUGAAGCGCAGAGUUACCAGGUCCCUUGCUCAGGACCUUACAGCAAGUAAAGCAACGCCUGUAAUGAUCCACAACUUCACUGGGUCUGGGGCUUUUCCUUUUAAUCACUGCUGGGAUCCAGGAUGACUAUUGGCUUUAGCUGUGAUGGCAUAAAUACUACUUAUAGCCAGCUUGUUUCUCGUUUAUUUUUUAGAACCUAGCCUAGCUCUGUCGCUUCUCUCACUCUCCUCUGUCCCUUCUUCCUCUCUUCUCUCUCUGACCCCUUUCUUCCUCUCUCUCCACUUACCUCUCCCCACCUCCACGUGUUCCUGGUCAGCCUUGUGCCACACACACACACACACACACACACAGAGUCUCUCACUCCCUGGCUCAAAUAAACUCUAUUUGAUACUAUUUUAAAAACAAAACAGGAGCUAGAGAAAGAACCCAAGGAGCUGAAGGGGUCUGCAACCCUAUAGGUGGAAGAACAAUAUGAACUAACCAGUACCCCCAGAGCUUGUGUCUCUAGCUGCAUAUGUAGCAAAAGAUGGCCUAGUCGGCCAUCAUUGGAAGGAGAGGCCCUUGGUCUUGAGAAGAUCAUAUGCCCUAGUACAGGGGAAUGCCAGGGCCAGGAAGCAGGAGUUGGGUGGGUUGGGGAGCAGGGCGCGGGAAGGGUAUAGGGGACUUUGGGGAUAGCAUUUGAAAUGUAAAUGAAAAUAAUCUAAUUAAAGAAAAAAGACUUCUAGCCAAUUAAAAACAAAAC